rnacentral:rRNA from 1 species
GAUGAACGCUAGCGGCAGGCCUAAUACAUGCAAGUCGAACGCGGGGUAGCAAUACCUCGAGUGGCGCACGGGUGCGUAACGCGUAACCAACCUGCCCUUGACUGGGGGAUAGCCCGCCGAAAGGCGGAUUAAUACCGCAUAAACCAGCAGCCUGGCAUCAGGCAACUGGUAAAGAUUUAUUGGUCAAGGAUGGGGUUGCGUGACAUUAGCUAGUUGGCGGGGUAACGGCCCACCAAGGCGACGAUGUCCAGGGGACCUGAGAGGGUGAUCCCCCACACUGGCACUGAGAUACGGGCCAGACUCCUACGGGAGGCAGCAGUAGGGAAUAUUGGGCAAUGGGCGAGAGCCUGACCCAGCCAUGCCGCGUGCCGGAUGAAGGCCUUCUGGGUUGUAAACGGCUUUUCUCAGGGAAGAAAAAGGGUAUGCGUACCACACUGACGGUACCUGAGGAAUAAGCACCGGCUAACUCCGUGCCAGCCGCCGCGGUAAGAC